rnacentral:rRNA from 1 species
ACGUAGGGUGCGAGCGUUAAUCGGAAUUACUGGGCGUAAAGCGCGCGUAGACGGUUUUGUAAGUCAGAUGUGAAAUCCCUGGGCUCAACCUGGGAACUGCAUUUGAAACUGCAUGGCUAGAGUAUGGAAGAGGGAAGUGGAAUUUCCGGUGUAGCGGUGAAAUGCGUAGAUAUCGGAAGGAACACCAGUGGCGAAAGCGACUUCCUGGUCCAAUACUGACGUUCAUGUGCGAAAGCGUGGGGAGCAAACAGGAUUAGAUACCCUGGUAGUCCACGCCAUAAACGAUGACAACUAGAUGUUGGGAGGGUCUGCCUCUCGGUGUCGCAGCUAACGCGUUAAGUUGUCCGCCUGGGGAGUACGGCCGCAAGGUUG